rnacentral:rRNA from 1 species
AUUGAACGCUGGCGGCAGGCCUAACACAUGCAAGUCGAGCGGCUGAAGGGUGAUUGCUCGUUGUUUCAGGGGCGGACGGGCGGGUAAUUGCUAGGAACAUGGGAGGCUGCGGUGUCUAACGGCCGAAAGCGGGGGCUCUUACCCCAUUAGCGCAUACGGACUACGGGUGAAAGCAUGGGACCUUCGGACAUUGCGCGAUUCGAGGUCGGAUUAGCUAGUUGGUGGGGUAACGGCCUACCAAGGCGACGAUCCGUAACUGGUCUGAGAGGAUGAUCAGCCACACUGGAACUGAGACACGGUCCAGACUCCUACGGGAGGCAGCAGUGGGGAAUAUUGGACAAUGGGCGCAAGCCUGAUCCAGCCAUACCGCGUGUGUGAAGAAGGUCUUCGGGUUGUAAAGCACUUUAGGUUGGAAAGAAAAGCAGUAAGUUAAUACCUUGCUGUUUUGACGUUACCCACAGAAUAAGCACCGGCUAACUUCGUG